rnacentral:lncRNA from 1 species
GCGCAUGCGAGGGAUCUAGGCUGCGCGCUCCUUAUGAGAAUCUAACGCCUGAUGACCUAUCACUGUCUCCCAUCACUCCCAGAUGGGACCGUCUAGUUGCAGGAAAACAAGCUCAGGGCUCCCACUGAUUCUACAUUAUGAUCAACUGCAUGGGGUCCUACAGGAGAAGACCAAGAGACAGAGACAGGGACCAGGGAAAAUGACCGAUACCAUUCCUUCUCAGGGAUGCUACACACCCAUGGGGCAGAGGAUAAGAGGUUCCUGAAGGCAUCACCCCUCUGGCCAUGGCUGGUGUGCAGACAAAGCUGGAGAUUUGGAGUAACCUGUUGUCCCACUGACUCUUAGACUGCCCCAGCUAAGAAGAACCAACUCCUCCUAUUACAGAUGAAAUAAACAAAGCUACUCAAGCUCUCUGGCAUCGCCCUGACGGUCAUCAUGUGCUUGACAUUUCCCUCCUGCCCCCCCGAUUUUCUGGAAAAGGGAGAAAGUGUGUGAAAAAAAAUGGACAAUAACUUCUGUUAACUUUAUAGAUGUCUGGUUCCUCCAUAUGAGGCUGUGCUUGAAUCAGUUUUGGAGAGAGGGUUUCUAAAGUCUCUCUAGAUUCUAUUAAUUUUGAUAGAGACAAUAAAAGGCAGCAGGACCA